UGCUGGAGGUAUCAGAAGUGCGAAUGCUGACAUAAGUAACGAUAAAGCGGGUGAAAAGCCCGCUCGCCGGAAGACCAAGGGUUCCUGUCCAACGUUAAUCGGGGCAGGGUGAGUCGACCCCUAAGGCGAGGCCGAAAGGCGUAGUCGAUGGGAAACGGGUUAAUAUUCCCGUACUUGGUGUUACUGCGAAGGGGGGACGGAGAAGGCUAUGUUGGCCGGGCGACGGUUGUCCCGGUUUAAGCGUGUAGGUGUGUGUUCCAGGUAAAUCCGGUCACUUUAACACUGAGGCGUGACGACGAGGCACUACGGUGCUGAAGCAACAAAUGCCCUGCUUCCAGGAAAAGCCUCUAAGCAUCAGGUAACAUCAAAUCGUACCCCAAACCGACACAGGUGGUCAGGUAGAGAAUACCAAGGCGCUUGAGAGAACUCGGGUGAAGGAACUAGGCAAAAUGGUGCCGUAACUUCGGGAGAAGGCACGCUGACACGUAGGUGAAGUGAUUUACUCAUGGAGCUGAAGUCAGUCGAAGAUACCAGCUGGCUGCAACUGUUUAUUAAAAACACAGCACUGUGCAAACACGAAAGUGGACGUAUACGGUGUGACGCCUGCCCGGUGCCGGAAGGUUAAUUGAUGGGGUCAGCGCAAGCGAAGCUCCUGAUCGAAGCCCCGGUAAACGGCGGCCGUAACUAUAACGGUCCUAAGGUAGCGAAAUUCCUUGUCGGGUAAGUUCCGACCUGCACGAAUGGCGUAAUGAUGGCCAGGCUGUCUCCACCCGAGACUCAGUGAAAUUGAACUCGCUGUGAAGAUGCAGUGUACCCGCGGCAAGACGGAAAGACCCCGUGAACCUUUACUAUAGCUUGACACUGAACAUUGAGCCUUGAUGUGUAGGAUAGGUGGGAGGCUUUGAAGUGUGGACGCCAGUCUGCAUGGAGCCGACCUUGAAAUCCCACCCUUUAAUGUUUGAUGUUCUAACGUGGACCCGUAAUCCGGGUUGCGGACAGUGUCUGGUGGGUAGUUUGACUGGGGCGGUCUCCUCCUAAAGAGUAACGGAGGAGCACGAAGGUUGGCUAAUCCUGGUCGGACAUCAGGAGGUUAGUGCAAUGGCAUAAGCCAGCUUGACUGCGAGCGUGACGGCGCGAGCAGGGGCGAAAGCAGGUCAUAGUGAUCCGGUGGUUCUGAAUGGAAGGGCCAUCGCUCAACGGAUAAAAGGUACUCCGGGGAUAACAGGCUGAUACCGCCCAAGAGUUCAUAUCGACGGCGGUGUUUGGCACCUCGAUGUCGGCUCAUCACAUCCUGGGGCUGAAGUAGGUCCCAAGGGUAUGGCUGUUCGCCAUUUAAAGUGGUACGCGAGCUGGGUUUAGAACGUCGUGAGACAGUUCGGUCCCUAUCUGCCGUGGGCGCUGGAGAACUGAGGGGGGCUGCUCCUAGUACGAGAGGACCGGAGUGGACGCAUCACUGGUGUUCGGGUUGUCAUGCCAAUGGCACUGCCCGGUAGCUAAAUGCGGAAGAGAUAAGUGCUGAAAGCAUCUAAGCACGAAACUUGCCCCGAGAUGAGUUCUCCCUGAGACUUAGAGUCUCCUGAAGGAACGUUGAAGACGACGACGUUGAUAGGCCGGGUGUGUAAGCGCAGCGAUGCGUUGAGCUAACCGGUACUAAUGAACCGUGAGGCUUAACCUU
rnacentral:rRNA from 1 species